GCUGUGUGUUGUAGCAGGCGCUUAUAGUCCUAGCUACUUGGGAGGCUGAGGCAAGAGACUCGUUUAAGUCCAGGAGUUGGAGGUUGCUGUGAGCUGUGAUGCCACGGCACUCUACCCAGGGUGACAGCUUGAGCCUCUGUCUCAAAAAUAAAUAAAAGGGAGAUGUAGUGGCUGAGAGUUGAGUACAUUCGAGCUGUUGCCCUGGGUAGAGUGCGAUGGUAUCACAGCUCACAGCAAUCUCCAACUCCUGGGCUUAAGCAGUUCUCUUGCCUCAG
rfam:Otolemur garnettii contig171042, whole genome shotgun sequence.